rnacentral:rRNA from 1 species
UACGUAGGGUGCAAGCGUUGUCCGGAAUUAUUGGGCGUAAAGAGCUCGUAGGCGGUCUGUCGCGUCGGCUGUGAAAACUCGGGGCUCAACCCCGAGCCUGCAGUCGAUACGGGCAGACUAGAGUGCUGUAGGGGAGACUGGAAUUCCUGGUGUAGCGGUGAAAUGCGUAGAUAUCGGGAGGAACACCUGUGGUGUAGACGGCUAUCUGGACGGCCACUGACGCUGAGACACGAAAGCGUGGGUAGCAAACAGG